rnacentral:lncRNA from 1 species
AUGCGCCGAGGGUCGAUUGGAAACAGCCUCUCUGCCCUUUCGGGUAGGGGUAAGGCUCGUCUACAUAUUACCCUCCCCAGACCCCACUUGGUGGAAGUAUACUGGGUAGUUGUUGUUGUUGUAUAAAUGAAAAAGAAGUAGAAACAAUACUUGAUAAGACAUGCUUGACAUGUUAUUGAUCAAUCAGUAACUGGUGGAAAAAUGAAGCUUAAAGUAACAAUUUGUCAUGUAAGCUACUUGCUUCUAGGUCAAAGCAUACAGAGAUGCCAAAUGACAUUCAAUGUAAUAAUUUUCCCGGGUAUAAUCACCCUACAUAUUGCCCGUACCAAUGAACAACACAACAGAAAAAUACAUCUAACAAAUAGAUUUUUUUGUUUACUGUGAACUAUUUUUACAUAAAACAUACAAUUAGAACGUAAGGAAAAUCAUAUUUGGUGAAAAAAUUGACAAAUGCAUGUUUAAGUCAAAGAAAACCCACUUUAAAUAUCAAAGUCUUAAGUUUUUCUUAAAAUGAAAAACGACACUUUAUUCUUCCUACUACAACUGGAAUUAGUUUAAUCACGAAUUUUUUUAUGAACUUCACCAGUUACCGGUAAACUCUCAAUUAACAUAAACUCAGACUUUCCUAAUAUAUUUCAUUGACAAAGGUGUCCAGGUAAUAAAAGCACCUUAAUAUCUCAAUGAAUCAUUCCCAUACUGUGUAUGUAUUCAAGAGCAUGUGCAACUUCAGCUGCAUAAAGACGCACGAACCAAAAAGUCUAUUGACAUUGGGACCCGAUAGGAGUGACUAAAUUAUAUCCACCACUUCUAGCUCUGAGACAUUUUAUGGCACGGACUUGACUUUACUUGAACAGAACGAAAAUUCACCAUGCGCCUAAAAAUAUUAGUUAAUGACAAGGACCACUAUCCUUAGAAGCCAUUUCACCCAAAAAUUGCUAACAACAAAAAUAAAUAUUUAUUCUGAUACAUGCACUGACUAUCUAUUCCGAAAAAAUCGAAGCAAAAGAGAUACCAAUUAAAUGUUGACCUGCAUGUAAGAAAUUCAACAAAAAUUCAAAAUUAUGAAGAAAACCAAAUCAGAUCUAUCAAAUUCCAAUCCGAUCACCAGGAAAUGGGUGCAACAAAGAAUGGAAGAGAAUGAAGUAAAAUUCACCAAGUCGCAAGUAUAGCAGUGUAAGAUCCGACGUCAUAAAAAACCACAUACCCAUCAACAAAAGAAUUUCACAAAUUGAAAGAUCGAAGAGCAGAGAAAAACUUAGAAGAAAGUUGAGAUACUCACAGACAGAGAUGGGUCUUUGAAGCAGCGAACGAGGGAAAAGUUGUCAACACUGAAAUUGAGCAG